ensembl:lncRNA
GCUCCUCCCAAGCAAACAGAAUGCAGAGAAGCCAGCGUUCCCAAGUUCAAGGCCAAGGCAGGGCGGCGGUCCCUGCGGAGGCGGAUGCCUUCCCGCUCCCCCACCUCCUGCAGGGAACUUCCUUGGGCCAAGGAUCAGCAAAAUCUGGAAGAAUCUGCCUGGAAGCUGAUUUCCCUGGUUUCUGUCCCAGAGGUCAGCUCUCUAUCUGAUCCCAAUACGACAAAACAGGAUGGAUGAAUUCCCCUGAUGUUCUAGGCGCAGCCUGCCCUGUGUACUUGACUAUGAACUCCUGGAGCCCAGGGACUGUCUCAUUCCUCUUCGUGGUUGCAGUGCCAAGUACAAGGCUCGGUACAGAGUUGGUGUUGUGUGGAUAAUCUUAAAGAAGACAGAAUAGCAAUAAUGAAUCAUAACAGGAAGUCCCCAAAUCCCAAUCAGAGUGACUCGGGAGAGGACCGGAAGGCGUCAACCAAAUCCCGAUCAAAACUUCUCUCCCGCUCCCACCUGCCUGGUGAAAAUACAGGCGCCCCUGGGACUCCCAGCUUCUGGGCGGGCCUGGAAAGGGCUCAGGGAAGCCAAGCCUUUGCUGGAGGGUAGGGAGCCUCACUUGGGUUUGCCUGAAGCCCCUAUUUUUCAGAGGCCCCCUGUCUGCCCUCCUCGUGGCUCAGGGCCCCUCAGUGAAGGGGCUCACUGUGCACAGGGUUGGUCUCUCCCAUCAGACGGCGCUCCACAAGACCAGGAUCUGUAGUUCACCAGCGGGUCCCCAGGCAGGUAGGUACACAGGGCCUGGUGCUAUUUGCUUCAGGAGCUGGCCCUGGAGCCCAGUGACGCCCAGUUCCAGCUCUCUCAGCAGCCUUAAAGCUGGGAGGAAGAUCGUAACCAGGUUGGCCUUCGCCUAGACUUCUCGUUAAAAGGGAAGCCCGCAGAGAAGGGACACAACCACAGGAUGCAGGUACAUGCAGAGGCUGCCACCAGCCGCUAGCCACAGCCUCCACGCUCAUCUCCAUCACCUGGGUCCUGGCUCCCCUCCUCCAGGAAGCCCUCCCUGGUGCGCCCCACCCACAUUCCCUGUUAUACCUGUCGCUUGGGUUCCAGGAAGCUUGGGGCGGUCACAGCUCUGGGGAGAAGAUGGGAGAGCAAGACUCAGGCUUCUUUAGGUUUCAGAACUGGGCUUUCAGUUCCAGGUCAUGGUUUCUGUCCUCUUCUCCCCUCUUCUCACGAAGAGGCUCUCUCAGUCAUCCUUGCUUUUCUGUCUUUUUCUCCCUUCUUUUCUCUUCUUGCCUCAUUCCCCUCUUCCUUCCAUCUCCCCCUCAUUUCCUUCCUUCACUCCAGCACUUUUUCGUGGAAGACUUGAGUCCACUUUUGCCUUCAGCCCACCUCCAGGCCUCUGGGCGUUCAGACCGGCCCCAGGUCGGCUCACUGGGUUGCGUAGUUCAGUGCCAACCUUGGGCUCUGUGGGCCUUACUCUGGGCUGAGUGUCGGGGCGGAGCGGCCUCAUGGUGACACCCAACAACCCCACCCUCACCACCCACCCUGCUGGGCCAGCGCUGGAAGCAAGACACCGCCACCCCUUCCACCUUCCUCGCUGCAAGUGCAAGAAGAAGUCAGGGGCCAAGGAAAGAGCCCUGGAGUAGGCGUCUCCAUUCCCUGAGUGCGUG